AACCCUAAUGCUGAUUGCAUGGAAAAGCUCAGUUUAGGGUUUAAAACCCUAAUGCUGGCUGAAUGGAAAAAAGUUCAGUUUAGGGUUUAAAAUCCUAAUGCUGACUAAAGGAAAAAUUCAGUUUAGGGUUUAAAACCCUAAUGUGACUAAAGGAAAAAUUCAGUUUAAGGUUUAAAACCCUAAUGUUGAUUGCAUGGAAAAGCUCAGUUUAGGGUUUAAAACCCUAAUGCUGACUGAAUGGGAAAAGUUCAGUUUAGGGUUUAAAACCCUAAUGCUGAUUGGCUGGGACAAAGUUCGAGA
rnacentral:lncRNA from 1 species